rnacentral:rRNA from 1 species
GACGAACGCUGGCGGCGUGCUUAACACAUGCAAGUCGAACGAAAAGAGGGAAAGAGCUUGCUCUUUCCGGAAUUGAGUGGCAAACGGGUGAGUAACACGUAAACAACCUGCCUUCAGGAUGGGGACAACAGACGGAAACGACUGCUAAUACCGAAUAAGUUCCAAGGGCCGCAUGGCCCAUCGAAGAAAAGGUGGCCUCUACCUGUCAGCUAUCGCCUGAAGAGGGGUUUGCGUCUGAUUAGCCGGUUGGCGGGGUAACGGCCCACCAAGGGGACGAUCAGUAGACGGUCUGAGAGGAUGAACGGCCAAACUGGAACUGAGACACGGGCCAGACUCCUACGGGAGGCAGCAGUGGGGAAUCUUCCGCAAUGGGCGAAAGCCUGACGGAGCAAAGCCGCGUGAGGGAUGACGGCCUUCGGGUUGUAAAACUCUGUGAUCCGGGACGAAAAGGCAGAGUGCGAAGAACAAACUGCAUUGACGGUACCGGAAAAGCAAGCCACGGCUAACUACGUG